rnacentral:rRNA from 1 species
GACGAACGCUGGCGGCGUGCCUAAUACAUGCAAGUAGAACGCUGACGGAAUGAGCUUGCUCUUUCUGGAUGAGUUGCGAACGGGUGAGUAACGCGUAGGUAACCUGCUUGGUAGCGGUGGAGAACUAUUUGAAACGAUAGCUAAUACUGCAUAAAAUUGAUUAUUGCAUGAUAGUCAAUUAAAAGGUGCAACUGCACCUCUACUAGAUGGACCUGCGUUGGAUUAGCUAGUUGGUGGGGUAACGGCUCACCAAGGCGACCAUACAUAGUCGACCCGGGAGGGUGGUCGACCACACUGGGACUUGGAACCGGCCCAGGACCCUACGGGGGGGAACAGUAGGGGAUCUUUGGACAUGGAGGGAAGUCCGGCCGAACAACGACGCCGUAGUGAAGGAGGGUUUUGGGUCGGAAAACUCUGUUGGAAGAGAAGAAAAAGUAGGAGGGUAGAAAGUUGACGUUGUGACGGUAUCUUAAGAAUAAGGAACGGCUAACUUCGUG